UGCUUUAUUUCUCGAGUUAUUACUGAAAAUUUUCAAAAAUCUGACAAGACUCUGAAUUUGAAACCGACUGUCUUUCGCUGAUGACGUCACAAUGGGUCUGCUGCGCCGGCCGUCUUCCUCGCGCUGUCAAUGUGGAAAGAGCGUGGGUUGGUAUUGCUCCUUUGAUGAACUGACACCAGCACAAUAAGCUAAAUAGCUGCCUUCUACCUGGUGAGAUUUUAUUAUUUUUCCUCAAGGACAUUCCAAGGCAAUGGAUGAUGGCAAAUGCUGCAAAUAACUAGAUUCUGGCCAGAUGGAACAAACUAUAUAAAUAAUUGAACCUUCUAUGGAAUAAUAUAACCAUUAAAAUCUGUAGUUCUGUGUGUGUGUUUAAGAACCAUUUUUAGCAUCCAAAGGUCUGGUUAUUUAAGAAUAAGAUGACAAAACCAGUAAAUUAUUAACAUUAAUGCUAUUGGUACCAUUAGACUUGUUGCUUAUUUUAAUAAAUGUUGUUUCACUGA